CGCAGAAAGAACAGUACUACUCUGAGCAACACUCUUCCUUGAUUAACAAGGCCUACCAAACCCUCCUGAACCCUUUGAGCCGUGGCCUUUAUCUACUAGAGCUGAAUGGAGUAGAGCCGGCACAAGAGACAGACUGUGAUGCAGACUCAGUGUUUCUCACUGAAAUCAUGGAAAUUAAUGAGAAAUUAGCAGAGCCUAAAAAUGAGGAUAUCCUUGAAGAAAUUGAAACUUUAAUUAAAGUUAAACAAGAAGAACUGACCAAAGAGGUGACUGCAGCUUUUGAAAGAGAUGAUCUUCAAGAAGCUAAGAACCUUCUAGCCAAAAUGAAAUAUUUUGCAAACUUAGAGGAUAAACUGAAGAACAAGAAGAUCCCUUCCUGAUACUGCCACCUCUACCAUUAAGGGUUAAUGUUAUUUUCAAUUAAACAGCUGAUUUAUUUACCAAAA